rnacentral:lncRNA from 1 species
AUGUCUUCCAAAAAAGCAUGUCUUCCAGAGGAUCCAUGUCUUCCAAUUGACCUCCAGGUCUUCCAGCCUAUCCACAUCUUCCAGAAAAUCCUUGUCUUCCAUAAAAUCCAUAGCUUCCGGAAUAUCCAUGUCUUCCAGCUAAUCCAUAUCUUCCAGGAAAUCCAUGUCUUCCAGGAAAUCCCCGUCUUCCAGGAAAUCUGCGUCUUCCAGGAAAUACGCGUCUUCCAGGAAAUCCAUGUCUUCCAGCUAAUCCACGUCUUCCAGGAAAUCCACGGCUUCCAGCUAAUCCAAGUCUUCCAGGAAAUCCACGUCUUCCAGGAAAUCCCUGUCUUCCCGGAAAUCCACGUCUUCCAGGAAAUCCACGUCUUCCAACCAAUCCACGUCUUCCAGCCAAUCCACGUCUUCCAGCCAAUCCACGUCUUCCAGCCAACCUAUGUCUUCCAGCCAAUCCAUGUCUUCCAGCCAAUCCACGUCUUCCAGCCAACCUACGUCUUCCAACAAAGCUACGUCUUCCAGGAAAUCCACGUCUUCCAACAAAGCCAUGUCUUCCAUGAAUCUAUGUCUUCCAACAAAUCCAUGUCUUCCUUCACCUCCAGGUCUUCCAGCAUCUCCAGGGCUUCCAGCAUCUCCUCAUCUUCCAGCAUCUUCAUGUCUUCCAACAUCCUCAGGUCUUCCUACAGCUACCCAGUCUUCCAUCAGCGGGCUGAAUAUCUGCGUCUUCCAAUGUCUCCAGUGCCGGUCUUCUCACAUCCAGGUCUUCCACCGUCUGCAAUAUCCAGGAUCUACCUGCUUCUUCAAAAAUCACUGACCUCCUGGGUUCCUGAUCACUGCCUUGUAUCCAACUAAUGGUAACUACAGCUCCUUAAAUCCCAGCAAGCUGACCUAGAGAACUAACUACUUGGUUCUCCAAGUCUCAGCUCUCACCAGACACUUGCAGAAAUGUUGCUACCCAUGCCUCUGGCUGCUAUGAAUGACAUGAAAGCCACACAAUGAAGUGACAGUUAGGCAAGUAAUCACCAUAAAGAUUUAGAAUCCUCUACAUGGUAAUAAACAGGAGCAACAACAAUAACAAUUAAAUAGCAACAUAUCAUCUGAAUUACAGUUUACGAAGUGCUAUCACUUCAUUGUUCAUCCAUCCAUUCAUUCAACAAAUAUUUAUUGAGUGCCAACUGGGUGCCAGGCUUAUCUGAUGGAACCUAAAAUCGGCUGGGGGAGUACAGACAGUGUACAGAUAAUUGAACAGUUAUUUAUCACUCGUGAUAAAGCCAUGAAGGAAAAGUAACAUAGGCUGCUGUGAGAGUUUGGAAAGUCAAGGAAAGCAUUCCUCAGGAAGGAACGUUCUUGGUGACUCAGAAGGAUCUAGUUUCUCAUUUGGUUAUCACAAUAAGCUGCAACUUAGAUAAGAUGUCUUUAUAUCAGUUUUUACCUAAGCAGAGUAAUUUUUGACAGUGGCCAUGGGAUUUGGGUGUUGGUUGGACCUCUUUUUUUUUUUUUUUUCUUUACUAUUACAUUCUGCCUUAAUUGAGGAAUAUAAAGCUGUAUUCUUUAACUCAAUACUUUCACAUCAAGGAAUCUAUCAAAGGACAUUUAAGAUGUGGAUGAUUCAUGCUCAAAGCUGUUCUUUGCAUAUUUAUUUGGUAGAGCAAAAAAAAAAAAAAAACAAACACCUAAGAGUCUAGCUUUAAGGAAAUGAUUAUGUUAAGUGUGCUGUUUACAUAUAAUGUAAUAUUCUUCCAUUAAAAUAUUUAUAGCAUGUUCAGUAUAUAAUGUUGAGUGAAAAACCAACAUACAAGAUGAUAUAAAGUGUGGCCGCAACUACUUGAAAUAUAUAACAAGAGAGAAAAGACUAGAAAUAAAUACAGUGGUGAUUGUGAACUAAUUAUCACUGGGUGAGCAGGAUUAUGUAUGAUUCUGUUUUCUUUUUUAUAUUCUUGUUUUUUCCCCCAAAGUCCUUAAAAUGACAGGGUAUUUUCUAUUCAGGAAAAAUGUUUAAACAGUUGUGCACCAAAAUUCAUUAUUAAUUUAUCCUUUUGCUUGUAUAUUUAAUCAUUUGAAAACACUUCAAAAUGUAAGUAAGCAAAGUGAAAAAAAAAAUGAAUUCUCAAAUAAUCUCAAUACCCAGAGAUAAUCACUGUGAAGAUUUUAGUGAAUAUUCUUCUAGACUAUUUCAAGGGUAUCUUUAUUUUCUUUUACAAAAUGUAGUCAUUCUACCAUUUAACCUAUUUCUUUCACUUCACAAUAAACUAUAACUUUUCAUGUCAGCAACUGCAUUUGUGUUCUAAUUUUAACACAAUUUACUUAGUCCAUCUCCUAUUAGUGGACAUUAAGUUCCUUUCAAUAUUUUAGUCUUGCAAAAAUUUGCUGUGAUGAGCAUAUAUGUUGUGAAAGUUGUGCCCAGUACAUACUAUGUGCAAAUUUGUUCAGAUAUUACUUAAUAUAAAUUACUAAAAGGAGAGGUACUUUGCCAAAGGCCUACAACUUAAUGCUUAUCACAGGAAAAAAUGACAAGCAAUUCAGAUGUUCAACAACUGGUGGUUAUUAAAAAAUUAUAACUCUAUGAUGGAAUACUCUCCAGCCAUUUGAAGCUAUGUCAUACAAGAAUAUUUACUAAAAUGGGAAUACGUUUGUAAGGUAUCAUUAGUGUGAGAACUAGGUCACAUGAAAAUGUAUAUGGUAUUCAUAUUUUGUACGAGGGAAACAAAAUAUAUUUGAAAGAAUACCCUAAAAUGUUAGUUUAAAAAGUCUCAAAAGAAAAAAGGAUAAAUUAUGAUAAUAUCUACACAAUGUGGUACUAUAUAGGAGUGAUA